rnacentral:rRNA from 1 species
AACGUACGCUGGCGGCACGCCUAACACAUGCAAGUCGAGCGAGGUAGCAAUACCUAGCGGCAGACGGGUGCGUAACAUGUGGGAAUCUGCCUUUUGGUUCGGAACAACACGGGGAAACCUGUGCUAAUACCGGAUAAGUCCUAACGGAGAAAGUUUUAAUGCCAAAAGAUGAGCCCGCAUUUGAUUAGCUAGUUGGUGAGGUAAAAGCUCACCAAGGCGAUAAUCAAUAGCUGAUUUGAGAGGAUGAUCAGCCACACUGGGACUGAGAUACGGCCCAGACUCCUACGGGAGGCAGCAGUGGGGAAUCUUGCACAAUGGGCGAAAGCCUGAUGCAGCGAUGCCGCGUGAGUGAAGAAGGCCUUUGGGUUGUAAAGCUCUUUUGUCGGGAAAGAUAAUGACUGUACCCGAAGAAUAAGGUCCGGCUAACUUCGUGCCAGCAGCCGCGGUAAUACGAAGGGACCUAGCGUAGUUCGGAAUUACUGGGCGUAAAGAGUAUGUAGGCGGCUAGAUAAGUUAAUUGUGAAAGCCCAAAGCUUAACUUUGGAAUUGCAAUUAAAACUAUUUAGCUGGAGUAUGAUAGAGGAAAGCGGAAUACAUAGUGUAGAGGUGAAAUUCGUAGAUAUUAUGUAGAACACCAGUUGCGAAGGCGGCUUUCUGGAUCAUUACUGACGCUGAGAUACGAAAGUAUGGGUAGCGAAGAGGAUUAGAUACCCUCGUAGUCCAUACCAUAAACGAUGAUUAUUAGAUGUGGGGAAUUAUUUCUCUGUAUCAUAGCUAACGCGUUAAAUAAUCCGCCUGGGGAGUACGACCGCAAGGUUAAAACUCAAAUGAAUCGACGGGGACCCGCACAAGCGGUGGAGCAUGUGGUUUAAUUCGAAGCAACGCGCAGAACCUUACCAACCCUUGACAUGUUCGUCGCGAGACUAAGAAAUUAGUCUCU